GGACCUAAGGCGAGGCCGAAAGGCGUAGUCGAUGGAUAACAGGUCAACAUUCCUGUACCGGUUAUGUUUUGGGAAGAGGGACGGAGAAGGCUAGCCAAGCCAGAUGUUGGUUACUGGUUCAAGCGUUCGAGGCGUUGAGGAUCGGCGAAAACGAUCCGAGCUGAGGCGUGAGUACGAGCUGCUACGGCAGCGAAGUUGGUGAUGUCAUGCUUCCAAGAAAAGCUCUAUACCCGUUAAGGCAUAACUGCCAGUACCCGAAACCGACACAGGUGGGGUGGUAGAGAAUACCGAGGUGCGCGAGGUAACUCUCUCUAAGGAACUCGGCAAAAUGGCCCCGUAACUUCGGGAGAAGGGGUGCCACAGCAAUGUGGUCGCAGUGAAGAGGCCCUGGCGACUGUUUACCAAAAACACAGGUCUCCGCUAAGUCGCAAGACGAUGUAUGGGGGCUGACGCCUGCCCAGUGCCGGAAGGUUAAGGAAGCCGGUCAGCGUAAGCGAAGCUGGCGACUGAAGCCCCGGUGAACGGCGGCCGUAACAAUAACGGUCCUAAGGUAGCGAAAUUCCUUGUCGGGUAAG
rnacentral:rRNA from 1 species